GAAAUCCUUGACCCAAUUGUACUAGGGUAAGGUUACAAAAUUAUAAUCCAAAUAGAAUGAUGAAACACAUAACCUAAUUGCACUAGGUUAAUGUAUUAUGGCAAAAAUCCAGCUUUGUGUCUGUAAGUCCCAAAGUCUUCAGAAAUGCUGUUUUAGCCCGGGACAGAUUUUCCAUGCAGCAGAUUUAGUCCUUUAUGCGUCCAGCUCCUUUCCAUCUCGUUUGUGAGCUUUCUUUUGCGUCAAGUAAGCCAUAAAUUGCUGUAUUUUGCAUCAUUUAUACCUGAAACUUUCCUAAUCACAUUUGUUAGCUCAUUUACAGGAAAAAGGACUAAAAGUGUACGAAAUAGAUAAUUAGUUCUCGAAACUAGGCUAAAAUAUGGGCAAAAUAUAUUGAUAUAGGCGCGUAAUUUCGCCUAUCAUCAACACCCCACACUUAGAGCUUUGUUCGUCCUCGAACAACAUAUCAUGUCCUUCUAAGCAUUGACUUAAGGUUUUUACAGAAACAACACAAAACAUUCUUCAAGACAAGCACAACAAUUAUCAACGAAGAGUAGCUUUCCGAUUAUAAGUAGAAACAAUUUAACCUCAAGCAUAGACUCGUGAUGGUGAUCAACUCGCAUGCAAACGUUUAAGGUACAUAGAAUCAUAUACAACUAUCCAAAACUCAUCAACCAUGUGUGUCUCACAAUAUAGUACCCAUAAUCACUCACAAGUAUAGCAUAUUUUUCAAACAUGGGCAGCAAAGUAUCCUUGCGCUCACUCUCACAAAGAAUUCAUAUGUAGCAGCUAAUGACCAUAGGCUUGCCCUUAAUGUAGUACUCCACUAAAUGUCGGAAUGUUAAGGUUAGGAUCAAGUAGGUCUUUUGAUGGUUGUAAUGUAGGCUAAGGGACGGGUAGGAUCAACUAUUUUGGCCAGAAAUAGUGACUAAGUUCCUAAGCACUUUAAUACAUCACAUUGUAUUAUUGACACUUUUUUGUAGCACCCUUGUUCUCCUCUUUUGUUUUUCAAUUUUAAAGCACAACUCACUUUUCAGCUUUCUUUUCCUUUUUCUUCUCACAACAUACCUCUUAUGAUAGCACUUUCUUUUUCAUAACAUAUUCAAGCACCAUUACAAUUUAAAGCAUCAUACUCAACCAAUUUCCUCUUAUGUUGUCACAUGACUUUUUCACUUUAAAGCACUUAGGAAUUUGGAUCAAAUUACGGUCUUGAAAAAAAAAUGAAUUAGGCUUACAUACAAGGUUGUCAAAGAAAUAGGCUAAAGGCUCAAAAGGGUUUAACUAGGAUGAUGUCCAUGGGUAGGUAAAACUGAAGGUAAACAAAUAUAGGUUGCCAAAGAAAUGCCUAAAUCAUAUCCUAAACUUACACUCCUUAUUUUCGCUUUGCAUACAUACCAGGCAAGUUCUAGCAUCAGCCACAUACAUAGAAUAUACUAUUAUCUCACACACACAAGGCACAUGGUCGACUUGAUUGGUAGCAAUAUAGACUCUCAACCCAACAAGUGAAGGAAUUGAAUCACACACUAUCACAUAAUGAGUCACAACUAGAGCCUAAAUGUCUCAAUAGUCACAAUUGUAAUACAUACUAUUGUUAUAAUCUCAUGCUGCCUAUUAAAAUAAUUUCAUGCGAGGCUAGAAAAAUUUUAACUACUAAAAACUAAAAAAAAAACGUCACACGAAAAAAAUCACAAAAAAAAAUCGGACUCAAAACAAAAUAAAUAAAACAAAAUAAACAAGCAAACAUACAAAUAUAGCAUGCAGAUUCUGCCGACACCCCACACUUAGACUAGACACUGCCCUCAGUGGAAAAUAAAGUCGAAGAACCUGAUUAGUCGGACUCUUCCUCAAUGUCAUACCCCCUUCGUUCGAGUCAUCGUAAGAGUCAUCGUCAGAGUUCUCCUCAGCAUCAGAAUCAGGCAAGCGUCUAUCAUCAUCAGUUGGCACGUCAUCAUCAAGAGGUUCCUCGAAAUAUACUCCCACUCCACACAUCUCCCGGGCAUGUCUGUUCAUUGGGUAGUCGUGGUCCAGCUGUUGGAGCUCUUCAGCAGUUGGAAUACGUCCACCACUCAUCAUAGUGAAUCUCGUCAUGCCAUAGGUCAGAAUGUCUCCCCCCCCUCUUUAAAAUCUCUAACAUGAUAGGGUAUUUAUAAUACUCCUAUCCUACUCCUACUAAACUAAUAAAAUAAAUAACCAAAUCCUAAUAUACUAAUGAACUCCUUGACCCAAUUGUACUAGGGUAAGGUUACAAAAUUAUAAUCCAAAUAGAAUGAUGAAACAAAUAACCUAAUUGCACUAGGUUAAUGUAUUAUGGCAAAAAUCCAGCUUUGUGUCUGUAAGUCCCAAAGUCUUCAGAAAUGCUGUUUUAGCCCGGGACAGAUUUUCCAUGCAGCAGAUUUAGUCCUUUAUGCGUCCAGCUCCUUUCCAUCUCGUUUGUGAGCUUUCUUUUGCGUCAAGUAAGCCAUAAAUUGCUGUAUUUUGCAUCAUUUAUACCUGAAACUUUCCUAAUCACAUUUGUUAGCUCAUUUACAGGAAAAAGGACUAAAAGUGUACGAAAUAGAUAAUUAGUUCUCGAAACUAGGCUAAAGUAUGGGCAAAAUAUAUUGAUAUAGGCGCGUAAUUUCGCCUAUCAUCA
rnacentral:lncRNA from 1 species